rnacentral:rRNA from 1 species
ACGGGAGGCAGCAGUGGGGGAUAUUGCACAAUGGGGGAAACCCUGAUGCAGCGACGCCGCGUGAGUGAAGAAGUAUUUCGGUAUGUAAAGCUCUAUCAGCAGGGAAGAAAAUGACGGUACCUGACUAAGAAGCUCCGGCUAAAUACGUGCCAGCAGCCGCGGUAAUACGUAUGGAGCAAGCGUUAUCCGGAUUUACUGGGUGUAAAGGGAGCGUAGACGGUUAAGCAAGUCUGAAGUGAAAGGUGUGGGCUCAACCCGCAAACUGCUUUGGAAACUGUUUAACUAGAGUGCCGGAGAGGUAAGUGGAAUUCCUAGUGUAGCGGUGAAAUGCGUAGAUAUUAGGAGGAACACCAGUGGCGAAGGCGGCUUACUGGACGAUAACUGACGUUGAGGCUCGAAAGCGUGGGGAGCAAACAGGAUUAGAUACCCUGGUA